rnacentral:lncRNA from 11 species
GAACAACUUUCCAUGCUGAUUGAUGAGGAGAUCCCUAGGAGAUUUGUUUCUAGCCAAGGUACAUAUCCAAUUAACCAUUCAUUCCUAUCCAGCAGCUGAGGGAUAAAUCGUGUUAGGUUUUCGUUUCCAUUUGAGACCCCAGAAAACUGCACAGACUUUUGGAAAGAGAUGGUGGGAAAUUCAACUUUUAUGUGACAAGACAUUUCUUCUCUGCAAGCGGUGUAUCUGUGGUUUCACAUCUAGCUGUUCAGAGUGUGAGAGGCUUAACCCAGAUGCCCUUCCCUCCAAACACAUUGCUAGAGCCUUCAGUAGCUCACUGUGAUGCCUUUAACAACAAUUUUGCAGAUAAAAUCUCUUGCAUAACAGCUAACUUAGAUGCUGUCAUUGGAGCAAAAGUCAACAGUGAGAUGUCCAGCAACUGUGAGUGGCACAAAAAUCACAAUCCCAGUGGAAGGGAGGCAGGAAAACACAAGAUGAAGUUGGUACCUACAGACUGAAAUACAGUGCCAUCUGGAAAUCUUCCGAAGCCGUGCCUGAUCCUCAUGCUUCCCAGAUUCCCAUGCCAUCCCACUCUGUAAAAAAAUUACAAUAGGC